rnacentral:rRNA from 1 species
UACGAAGGGGGCUAGCGUUGCUCGGAAUCACUGGGCGUAAAGCGCACGUAGGCGGAUUGUUAAGUCAGGGGUGAAAUCCUGGAGCUCAACUCCAGAACUGCCUUUGAUACUGGCGAUCUCGAGUCCGGGAGAGGUGAGUGGAACUGCGAGUGUAGAGGUGAAAUUCGUAGAUAUUCGCAAGAACACCAGUGGCGAAGGCGCUCACUGGCCCGGUACUGGACCGCUGAGGCACGAAGGCCAGGGGAGCAAACGGGAU